GGGGUGACUAGUGACAGAGUGAGGGGGGAGUGACUAGUGACUAGUAACAGAGUGAGGGAGGGGGUGACAGAGGGAGGAGGUGACUAGUGACAGAGUGAAAGGGUGACUAGUGUCACUAGUCACCCCAUCCCUACUUCUGUCACUAGUCACUCCCUCCCUAACUCUGUCACUGUGUCACCCACUCCCUCACUCUGUCACUAGUCACCCCUUCCCUCCCUCACUCUGUCACUAGUCACCCCAUCCCUUCCUCUGUCACGAGUCACUCCCUCCCUAACUCUGUCACUGUGUCACCCCC